GUCUUUAACAAUGCCGGCUGUCUUCGGAACCGGCUGGACUGAAAUACAACAAGCUGGAUCAGAACUUCUUGCGGCUUGACCUGACGUUGUAAAAUCAACUCGUUGGGGACGCAAAGUUGUGAAUGAGCUUCUGCAAAUAAUCUACUGUUGAUUCAGUACAAUCAGACCUCAAAUCAGGUAGGACUACCCGCUGAACUUAA
rnacentral:misc_RNA from 1 species